AUUGAACGCUGGCGGCAGGCCUAACACAUGCAAGUCGAGCGAGUGGCGGACGGGUGAGUAAUGUAUGGGGAACUGCCUGAUAGAGGGGGAUAACUACUGGAAACGGUGGCUAAUACCGCAUACUAUCGGAUGUACCCAGAUGGGAUUAGCUAGUAGGUGGGGUAAAGGCUCACCUAGGCGACGAUGCCUAGCUGGUCUGAGAGGAUGAUCAGCCACACUGGGACUGAGACACGGUCCAGACUCCUACGGGAGGCAGCAGUGGGGAAUAUUGCACAAUGGGCGCAAGCCUGAUGCAGCCAUGCCGCGUGUAUGAAGAAGGCCUUAGGGUUGUAAAGUACUUUCAGCGGGGAGGCGUUACCCGCAGAAGAAGCACCGGCUAACUCCGUGCCAGCAGCCGCGGUAAUAC
rnacentral:rRNA from 1 species